rnacentral:rRNA from 1 species
CAGUNNNCGAUGCUUUCGGGCAUANNGGCGCACGGNNGCGUAACGCNNGGGAAUCUGCCCUUAGGUUCGGAAUAACAGUUGGAAACGACUGCUAAUACCGGAUGAUGACGUUAAGUCCAAAGAUUUAUCGCCUGAGGAUGAGCCCGCGUAGGAUUAGCUAGUUGGUGUGGUAAGAGCGCACCAAGGCGACGAUCCUUAGCUGGUCUGAGAGGAUGAUCAGCCACACUGGGACUGAGACACGGCCCAGACUCCUACGGGAGGCAGCAGUGGGGAAUAUUGGACAAUGGGCGAAAGCCUGAUCCAGCAAUGCCGCGUGAGUGAUGAAGGCCUUAGGGUUGUAAAGCUCUUUUACCCGGGAUGAUAAUGACAGUACCGGGAGAAUAAGCUCCGGCUAACUCCGUGCCAGCAGCCGCGGUAAUACGGAGGGAGCUAGCGUUGUUCGGAAUUACUGGGCGUAAAGCGCACGUAGGCGGCUUUGUAAGUUAGAGGUGAAAGCCUGGAGCUCAACUCCNGAAKUGCCUUUAAGACUGCAUCGCUUGNAUCCAGGAGANGNGNGUGGAA